UACGGGGGGAACAAGCGUUGUUCGGAUUUACUGGGCGUAAAGGGCGCGUAGGCGGCCACCGCAAGUCAGUUGUGAAAUCUCCGGGCUUAACCCGGAAAGGUCAACUGAUACUGCGGGGCUAGAGUGCAGAAGGGGCAACUGGAAUUCUCGGUGUAGCGGUGAAAUGCGUAGAUAUCGAGAGGAACACCUGCGGCGAAGGCGGGUUGCUGGGCUGACACGUGACGCUGAGGCGCGAAAGCUAGGGGAGCGAACGGG
rnacentral:rRNA from 1 species